rnacentral:rRNA from 1 species
UACGAAGGGGGCUAGCGUUGUUCGGAAUCACUGGGCGUAAAGCGCACGUAGGCGGAUUGCUAAGUCAGGGGUGAAAUCCUGGAGCUCAACUCCAGAACUGCCUUUGAUACUGGCGAUCUUGAGUCCGGGAGAGGUGAGUGGAACUGCGAGUGUAGAGGUGAAAUUCGUAGAUAUUCGCAAGAACACCAGUGGCGAAGGCGGCUCACUGGCCCGGUACUGACGCUGAGGUGCGAAAGCGUGGGGAGCAAACAGGAUUAGAAACCC